rnacentral:rRNA from 1 species
GAUGAACGCUGGCGGCGUGCUUAACACAUGCAAGUCGAACGAUGAAGCCCAGCUUGCUGGGUGGAUUAGUGGCGAACGGGUGAGUAACACGUGAGUAACCUGCCCUUAACUCUGGGAUAAGCCUGGGAAACUGGGUCUAAUACCGGAUAGGAGCGUCCACCGCAUGGUGGGUGUUGGAAAGAUUUAUCGAUUUUGGAUGGACUCGCGGCCUAUCAGCUUGUUGGUGAGGUAAUGGCUCACCAAGGCGACGACGGGUAGCCGGCCUGAGAGGGUGACCGGCCACACUGGGACUGAGACACGGCCCAGACUCCUACGGGAGGCAGCAGUGGGGAAUAUUGCACAAUGGGCGCAAGCCUGAUGCAGCGACGCCGCGUGAGGGAUGACGGCCUUCGGGUUGUAAACCUCUUUCAGUAGGGAAGAAGCGAAAGUGACGGUACCUGCAGAAGAAGCACCGGCUAACUACGUG